GUGGGGAAUCUUGCGCAACGGGCGAAAGCCUGACGCAGCCAUGCCGCGUGAAUGAUGAAGGUCUUAGGAUUGUAAAAUUCUUUCACCGGGGACGAUAAUGACGGUACCCGGAGAAGAAGCUCCGGCUAACUUCGUGCCAGCAGCCGCGGUAAUACGAAGGGGGCUAGCGUUGCUCGGAAUUACUGGGCGUAAAGGGCGCGUAGGCGGACAGCUUAGUCAGAGGUGAAAGCCCAGGGCUCAACCUUGGAAUUGCCUUUGAUACUGGCUGUCUUGAGUUUGGGAGAGGUGAGUGGAACUCCGAGUGUAGAGGUGAAAUUCGUAGAUAUUCGGAAGAACACCAGUGGCGAAGGCGACUCACUGGCCCAAUACUGACGCUGAGGCGCGAAAGCGUGGGGAGCAAACAGGAUUAGAAACCCUGGUAGUCC
rnacentral:rRNA from 1 species